GCCGGGCCCGGUGGCGCGUGCCUGUAAUCCAAGUGUCCGGAGGCUGAGGUUGGCGGAUCGACUGAGCUGUGGAGUUCUAGGCUGCUGCGUGCUUAUGUCGAACGGGCGUCCCUACUAAGUUCGGUAUCGAUAUGGUUUGCCUGGGGAGCCCGGGCUCCCCAGGUCGUCUAAGGAGGGGUUGCACCGGCCCAGGUCGGAAACGAAGCAGGUCAAAGCCCCCGUUGCCGUCCAGUGGUGGGAUUGCGCCUGUGAGUAGGACGUUGCACCCUGGCCAUGGCGAGACAUCGAAACACAAUCUUUU
rnacentral:SRP_RNA from 1 species